GAUGAACGCUAGCGGCAGGCUUAACACAUGCAAGUCGAGGGGCAGCGGGGAGGAAGCUUGCUUUCUCCGCCGGCGACCGGCGCACGGGUGAGUAACACGUAUGCAACCUGCCCCUGUCAGGGGGACAACCCGCCGAAAGGCGGGCUAAACCCGCGUACAUGCCACCGGGGCAUCCCGGAGGCAGGAAAGGCUUCGGCCGGACAGGGAUGGGCAUGCGGCGCAUUAGGCAGUAGGCGGGGUAACGGCCCACCUAACCGACGAUGCGUAGGGGUUCUGAGAGGAAGGUCCCCCACACUGGUACUGAGACACGGACCAGACUCCUACGGGAGGCAGCAGUGAGGAAUAUUGGUCAAUGGUCGGGAGACUGAACCAGCCAAGCCGCGUGAGGGAGGAAGGUACAGAGUAUCGUAAACCUCUUUUGUCAGGGAACAAAGGCGGGGACGUGUCCCCGGAUGAGUGUACCUGAAGAAAAAGCAUCGGCUAACUCCGUGCCAGCAGCCGCGGUAAUACGGAGGAUGCGAGCGUUAUCCGGAUUUAUUGGGUUUAAAGGGUGCGCAGGCGGUCUGUUAAGUCAGCGGUCAAAGCCCGGGGCUCAACCCCGGCCCGCCGUUGAAACUGGCAGUCUCGAGUUGGAGAGAAGUAUGCGGAAUGCGCGGUGUAGCGGUGAAAUGCAUAGAUAUCGCGCAGAACUCCGAUUGCGAAGGCAGCAUGCCGGCUCCACACUGACGCUGAGGCACGAAAGCGUGGGUAUCGAACAGGAUUAGAUACCCUGGUAGUCCACGCAGUAAACGAUGAAUGCUGGCUGUCCGGGGGGAUUGACCCCUGGGUGGCGAAGCGAAAGCGAUAAGCAUUCCACCUGGGGAGUACGCCGGCAACGGUGAAACUCAAAGGAAUUGACGGGGGCCCGCACAAGCGGAGGAACAUGUGGUUUAAUUCGAUGAUACGCGAGGAACCUUACCCGGGCUCAAACGGGGAGUGACUCAGGCAGAGACGCCUGUUUCCCACGGGACACUCCCCGAGGUGCUGCAUGGUUGUCGUCAGCUCGUGCCGUGAGGUGUCGGCUUAAGUGCCAUAACGAGCGCAACCCCCGCGUGCAGUUGCUAACAGAUAACGCUGAGGACUCUGCACGGACUGCCGGCGCAAGCCGCGAGGAAGGCGGGGAUGACGUCAAAUCAGCACGGCCCUUACGUCCGGGGCGACACACGUGUUACAAUGGGUGGUACAGCGGGAAGCCAGGCGGCGACGCCGAGCGGAACCCGAAAUCCACUCUCAGUUCGGAUCGGAGUCUGCAACCCGACUCCGUGAAGCUGGAUUCGCUAGUAAUCGCGCAUCAGCCAUGGCGCGGUGAAUACGUUCCCGGGCCUUGUACACACCGCCCGUCAAGCCAUGGGAGCCGAGGGCGCUUGAAGUGCGUCGCCGCGAGGCGCGCCCUAGAGCGAAAUCGGUGACUGGGGCUAAGUCGUAACAAGGUAGCCGUACCGGAAGGUGCGGCUGGAACACCUCCUUUCUGGAGACCGGGAUUCCGGUCGGUUGAAGGUGACACAAAGAGAUAGACAAGGAGACGAAAGUCCUCCCCUCUGUCAGCUGUCCUGAGGCAAACCCAUACGGUGAGACACCGUCUCACUGGAUAUCAACAGAGUUGAUAUCUGCAUAGUCCUUUAGCUCAGUUGGUUAGAGCGCCACACUGAUAAUGUGGAGGUCGGCAGUUCAACUCUGCCAAGGACUACAGUAGGUAUCCCGUCAGGGAGACCGGCUGAAGCGGGCGACCGCUUCCCCCUUAGGGGGGACUUCGAAAAGAGCACAUUGACAUGAUGGAAGCGAGACUCAGAUUCGUCUGAGUCAGCGAGAAGACAAAGUAGAAACUCAAACAGAACACAACGAGCGCCAUCAGCUUUCUGAUGGUAUAAAAAAGGCUUAGGCAAGGUGUCAGAAAUGACACCAGUUACUAUGUACUUCGAUACAUCAAGAAAUAACGGAAUGAUCGAAGGGCGCAUGGGGGAUGCCUUGGCUCUCGGAGGCGAGGAAGGACGUGACAAGCUGCGAUAAGCCACGGCGAGGGGCAAAUACCCAUUGACCCGUGGAUCUCCGAAUGGGGCAACCCGGCGGGAGCGAUCCCGUCACCCUGCAGAGCAGGGGGCGAACGUGGGGAACUGAAACAUCUAAGUACCCGCAGGAAGAGAAAGUAACAACGAUUCCCCAAGUAGCGGCGAGCGAACGGGGAGGAGCCCAAACCGGCGGUGUCGCAAGGCAUGUGCCGGGGUUAUAGGACCGACAUAACGGACCAAGGAUUCUAGUGGAAGCGCAUGGAGCGGCGCGCCACAGCGGGUGAGAGCCCCUUACACGAAAGGAUCCGCGGAACAGGUCGGCACCUGAGUAGGCCGGGACACGAGAAAUCCCGGUUGAAUUGUCGGGGACCAUCCCGAAAGGCUAAAUACUACCGAGAGACCGAUAGCGAACG
rnacentral:rRNA from 1 species